rnacentral:rRNA from 1 species
UAGCUUGCUACUUGACCUAGCGGCGGACGGGUGAGUAAUGCUUAGGAAUCUGCCUAUUAGUGGGGGACAACAUCUCGAAAGGGAUGCUAAUACCGCAUACGUCCUACGGGAGAAAGCAGGGGACCUUCGGGCCUUGCGCUAAUAGAUGAGCCUAAGUCGGAUUAGCUAGUUGGUGGGGUAAAGGCCUACCAAGGCGACGAUCUGUAGCGGGUCUGAGAGGAUGAUCCGCCACACUGGGACUGAGACACGGCCCAGACUCCUACGGGAGGCAGCAGUGGGGAAUAUUGGACAAUGGGGGGAACCCUGAUCCAGCCAUGCCGCGUGUGUGAAGAAGGCCUUUUGGUUGUAAAGCACUUUAAGCGAGGAGGAGGCUACCGAGAUUAAUACUCUUGGAUAGUGGACGUUACUCGCAGAAUAAGCACCGGCUAACUCUGUGCCAGCAGCCGCGGUAAUACAGAGGGUGCAAGCGUUAAUCGGAUUUACUGGGCGUAAAGCGCGCGUAGGUGGCCAAUUAAGUCAAAUGUGAAAUCCCCGAGCUUAACUUGGGAAUUGCAUUCGAUACUGGUUGGCUAGAGUAUGGGAGAGGAUGGUAGAAUUCC